rnacentral:rRNA from 1 species
UACAGAGGGUGCUAGCGUUGUUCGGAAUCAUUGGGCGUAAAGCGCACGUAGGCGGUUCGUUAUGUCGGAUGUGAAAGCCCUUGGCUUAACCGAGGAAGUGCAUCCGAAACUGGCGAGCUAGAGUACGAAAGAGGAUCGCGGAAUUCCCGGUGUAGAGGUGAAAUUCGUAGAUAUCGGGAGGAACACCGGUGGCGAAGGCGGCGAUCUGGGUCGAUACUGACGCUGAGGUGCGAAAGCGUGGGGAGCGAACGGG